rnacentral:rRNA from 1 species
GACAGGAGGUGCCAAGCGUUAGGCGGAAUCACUGGGCUUAAAGCGUGUGUAGGCGGACUUGUAAGUACCGUUGUAGCAAAUCCCACGGCUCAACCGUGGAACUGCUUGGUAUACUGCUUGUCUUGAGCCACUUAGGGGCUAACCGGAACAAAUGGUGGAGGCGGUGAAAUGCGUAGAUGUCAUUUGGAACGCCAAUGGUGAAAACAGGUAGCUGGGAGUGUGCUGACGCUGAGACACGAAAGCCAGGGGAGCGAAACGGG